UACAGAGGUCCCAAGCGUUGUUCGGAUUCAUUGGGCGUAAAGGGUGCGUAGGCGGCGCGGUAAGUCGGGUGUGAAAUCUCGGAGCUUAACUCCGAAACUGCAUUCGAUACUGCCGUGCUUGAGGACUGGAGAGGAGACUGGAAUUCCUGGUGUAGCGGUGAAAUGCGCAGAUAUCAGGAGGAACACCGGUGGCGAAGGCGGGUCUCUGGGCAACAACUGACGCUGGAGGAGCGAAAGCGUGGGGAGCGAACAGG
rnacentral:rRNA from 1 species